ACCCGCACAAGCGGUGGAUGAUGUGGUUAAUUCGAUGCAACGCGAAAACCUUACCCACCUUUGACAUGGCAGGAAUCCCGAAGAGAUUUGGGAGUGCUCGAAAGAGAACCUGCACACAGGUGCUGCAUGGCUGUCGUCAGCUCGUGUCGUGAGAUGUUGGGUUAAGUCCCGCAACGAGCGCAACCCUUGCCAUUAGUUGCUACGAAAGGGCACUCUAAUGGGACUGCCGGUGACAAACCGGAGGAAGGUGGGGAUGACGUCAAGUCCUCAUGGCCCUUAUGGGUAGGGCUUCACACGUCAUACAAUGGUCGGUACAGAGGGUUGCCAAGCCGCGAGGCGGAGCCAAUCCCACAAAGCCGAUCGUAGUCCGGAUUGUUCUCUGCAACUCGAGAGCAUGAAGUCGGAAUCGCUAGUAAUCGCAGGUCAGCAUACUGCGGUGAAUACGUUCCCGGGUCUU
rnacentral:rRNA from 1 species